UACGGCCUCGGCGCGGACGCGCUCGACGCUGCUGCCGUCGAACGGGUGUUCGAGGCGAAGGGCCGCGA
rnacentral:tRNA from 1 species